rnacentral:rRNA from 1 species
AUUGAACGCUGGCGGCAUGCCUUACACAUGCAAGUCGAACGGUAACAGGUCUUCGGAUGCUGACGAGUGGCGAACGGGUGAGUAAUACAUCGGAACGUGCCUAGUAGUGGGGGAUAACUACUCGAAAGAGUGGCUAAUACCGCAUGAGAUCUACGGAUGAAAGCAGGGGAUCGCAAGACCUUGUGCUACUAGAGCGGCCGAUGGCAGAUUAGGUAGUUGGUGGGAUAAAAGCUUACCAAGCCGACGAUCUGUAGCUGGUCUGAGAGGACUAUGCGCCACACUGGGACUGAGAAACGGCCCAGACUCCUACGGAAGGCAGCAGUGGGGAAUUUUGGACAAUGGGCGCAAGCCUGAUCCAGCAAUGCCGCGUGCAGGAUGAAGGCCUUCGGGUUGUCAACUGCUUUUGUACGGAACGAAAAGCCCCGGGUUAAUACCCUGGGGUCAUGACGGUACCGUAAGAAUAAGCACCGGCUAACUACGUGCCAGCAGCCGCAGUAA